UGCGAGAUAUGAUCCAAUGGUCAAUGCGGUGAAAAAAAAAAGAACAAUCAUUCUUUCAACGAACCCAUCCAACCUCCAUUUCAUUGGAUGGUUCCCUUUGGAAACUUGUGGAUUGCAUCAGAUUCAUGAAGUGGAUCAUAAAGAGACCUGCCAGAAAACAGAAAGGUAUCGCCUAACCACCCAACUGUGUGGCCCUACAAUGAGAGCAAUUUAUGUCCUCUGCAACCAUGGAACAUAUGCC
rnacentral:lncRNA from 1 species